rfam:Mesocricetus auratus contig013064, whole genome shotgun sequence.
AAGUGAUGUGGCACCUAGCAGCAACAUCUGUCACCCCACUGACCACCGCGGUUUAUUAGGCUGAUAAAGUGGGCUAGACAGAUGUCCCCUUCCUCCCUGUUUCAUGUAUGUCCCUCCUAAAGCUUCAUGCUAGGUCGAGAAGUACAGCCUUUAUGGAUAGAGGAGAAUCUUUCUUCAGCCAAGGGUAUGAGUAGCUAUGCUCCCCUAAUAGAAUCUCCAAACAAGCACUUGACCUCAGAACUAUUGACACUGGGGUCAGAUGAUCCUCUACUGGGGUAGUGGUGGUUUUUGUU